rnacentral:tRNA from 1 species
GCGGAUAUGGCGGAACUGGCAGACGCGCAGGACUUAGAAUCCUGUGGGCAACCGUGCAGGUUCGAUUCCUGUUAUCCGCACCA